CCCUUAGAUGUUCUGGGCCGCACGCGUGCUACACUGAGUGGAUCAGCGGGUCAGGUUGCGCGAAAGUGUUUCCUAAUCUUGAAAUCCGCUCGUGAUGGGGAUUGACGGUUGCAAUUUUCCGUCAUGAACGAGGAAUACCUUGUAAGCGCGGGUCAUCAUCCCGCGCUGAAUACGUCCCUGCCCUUUGUACACACCGCCCGUCGCUCCUACCGAUUGAGUGGUCCGGUGAGGCCUCGGGAUUGUGGCGGUUGCCUUUAUUGGUGGCCGCCGCGAGAACUUGUCUAAACCUUAUCAUCUAGAGGAAGGUGAAGUCGUAACA
rnacentral:rRNA from 1 species